rnacentral:rRNA from 1 species
UCGAGCGGCAGCGCGAGUAGUUUACUACUUGGCGGCGAGCGGCGGACGGCUGAGUAACGCGUGGGAACGUACCCCAAAGUGAGGAAUAACUGCCCGAAAGGGUGGCUAAUGCCGCAUAUGGUCUUCGGAUUAAAGGAUUUAUCCGCUUUGGGAACGGCCUGCGUACGAUUAGAUAGUUGGUGGGGUAAAGGCCUACCAAGUCUACGAUCGUUAACUGGUCUGAGAGGAUGAUCAGUCAGACUGGAACUGAGAUACGGUCCAGACUCCUACGGGAGGCAGCAGUGAGGAAUCUUCCACAAUGGACGAAAGUCUGAUGGAGCAACGCCGCGUGCAGGAUGAAGGCCUUCGGGUCGUAAACUGCUUUUAUAAGUGAAGAAUAUGACGGUAGCUUAUGAAUAAGCACCGGCUAACUACGUGCCAGCAGCCGCGGUCAUACGUAGGGUGCAAGCAUUAUCCGGAGUGACUGGGCGUAAAGAGUUGCGUAGGUGGUUUGUUAAGUGAAUUGUGAAAUCUGGUGGCUCAACCACACAGACUAUUAUUCAAACUGACAAACUCGAGAGUAGCAGAGGUAACUGGAAUUUCUAGUGUAGGAGUGAAAUCCGUAGAUAUUAGAAGGAACACCAAUGGCGUAGGCAGGUUACUGGGCUAUUUCUGACACUGAAGCACGAAAGCGUGGGGAGCGAACCGGAUUAGAUACCCGGGUAGUCCACGCCGUAAACGAUGGAUACUAGCUGUUGGAGGUAUCGACCCCUUCAGUAGCGAAGCUAACGCGUUAAGUAUCCCGCCUGUGGAAUACGGUCGCAAGACUAAAACAUAAAGGAAUUGACGGGGACCCGCACAAGCGGUGGAGCGUGUUCUUUAAUU